UACGUAGGGACCAAGCGUUGUUCGGAUUUACUGGGCGUAAAGGGCGCGUAGGCGGCGUGACAAGUCACUUGUGAAAUCUCCGGGCUUAACUCGGAACGGUCAAGUGAUACUGUCGUGCUAGAGUGCAGAAGGGGCAACUGGAAUUCUCGGUGUAGCGGUGAAAUGCGUAGAUAUCGAGAGGAACACCUGCGGCGAAGGCGGGUUGCUGGGCUGACACUGACGCUGAGGCGCGAAAGCUAGGGGAGCGAACGGG
rnacentral:rRNA from 1 species